UACAUAGGGUGCGAGCGUUAAUCGGAAUUACUGGGCGUAAAGCGCGCGUAGGCGGCUUUGCAAGUCGGGUGUGAAAUCCCCAGGCUUAACCUGGGAACUGCAUUCGAGACUGCAUUGCUAGAGUAUGGGAGAGGGAAGUGGAAUUUCCGGUGUAGCGGUGAAAUGCGUAGAUAUCGGAAGGAACAUCAGUGGCGAAAGCGACUUCCUGGACCAAAACUGACGCUCAUGUGCGAAAGCGUGGGGAGCAAACAGG
rnacentral:rRNA from 1 species